rnacentral:rRNA from 1 species
GACGAACGCUGGCGGCGUGCUUAACACAUGCAAGUCGAACGGAAAGGCCCUGCUUUUGUGGGGUGCUCGAGUGGCGAACGGGUGAGUAACACGUGAGUAACCUGCCCUUGACGUUGGGAUAACUUCAGGAAACUGGGGCUAAUACCGGAUAGGAGCUCCUGCUGCAUGGUGGGGGUUGGAAAGUUUCGGCGGUUGGGGAUGGACUCGCGGCUUAUCAGCUUGUUGGUGGGGUAGUGGCUUACCAAGGCUUUGACGGGUAGCCGGCCUGAGGGGGUGACCGGCCACAUUGGGACUGAGAUACGGCCCAGACUCCUACGGGAGGCAGCAGUGGGGAAUAUUGCACAAUGGGCGGAAGCCUGAUGCAGCCACGCCGCGUGCGGGAUGACGGCCUUCGGGUUGUAAACCGCUUUCGCCUGUGACGAAGCGUGAGUGACGGUAAUGGGUAAAGAAGCACCGGCUAACUACGUG